AAAGCUCGUAGUUGAACCUUGGGCCUGGCUGGCCGGUCCGCCUCACCGCGUGCACUGGUCCGGCCGGGCCUUUCCCUCUGCUGUGAACCCCAUGCCCUUCACUGGGUGUGGCGGGGAAACAGGACUUUUACUUUGAAAAAAUUAGAGUGCUCAAGGCAGGCCUAUGCUCGAAUACAUUGGCAUGGAAUAAUAGAAUAGGACGUGUGGUUCUAUUUUGUUGGUUUCUAGACCGCCGUAAUGAUUAAUAGGGACAGUCGGGGGCAUCAGUAUUCAAUUGUCAAGGUGAAAUUCUUGGAUUUAUUGAAGACUAACUACUGCGAAAGCAUUUGCCAAGGAUGUUUUCAUUAAUCAGGAACGAAAGUUAGGGGAUCGAAGACGAUCAGAUACCGUCGUAGUCUUAACCAUAAACUAUGCCGACUAGGGAUCGGACGAUGUUACAUUUUUGACGCGUUCGGCACCUUACGAGAAAUCAAAGUGCUUGGGCUCCAGGGGGAGUAUGGUCGCAAGGCUGAAACUUAAAGAAAUUGACGGAAGGGCACCACCAGGGGUGGAGCCUGCGGCUUAAUUUGACUCAACACGGGGAAACUCACCAGGUCCAGACACAAUGAGGAUUGACAGAUUGAGAGCUCUUUCUUGAUUUUGUGGGUGGUGGUGCAUGGCCGUUCUUAGUUGGUGGAGUGAUUUGUCUGCUUAAUUGCGAUAACGAACGAGACCUUAACCUGCUAAAUAGCCCGUAUUGCUUUGGCAGUACGCCGGCUUCUUAGAGGGACUAUCGGCUCAAGCCGAUGGAAGUUUGAGGCAAUAACAGGUCUGUGAUGCCCUUAGAUGUUUGGGCCGCACGCGCGCUACACUGACAGAGCCAGCGAGUACUCCCUUGGCCGGAAGGCUGGGUAAUCUUGUUAAACUCUGUCGUGCUGGGGAUAGAGCGUUGCAAUUAUUGCUCUUCAACGAGGAAUCCCUAGUAAG
rnacentral:rRNA from 1 species